AUCAGAAAUACAAGCAUUAUAUGUGCUAUUUCUUGUCUUAAAGAAUCUGAAGAAUGUAAUUCUGGAAUAAGAGACACAUCACAAUCAGCUAUGUAUGACAAAGCACUUAGAACAUUUGAUUGGCACAUGGUAACUUAUGGAGCAAGUGAGCAUAUUUUGCUGCCCAACUGUCACCUGUCCAACAACUUUCUCAGAGACUGCGACAGCAGGGCCAUUCUGAACUGGCACAAUGGUCUCACAGAGCACCUGAAGUCCUUACAUCCUGACAAAAGACCCAGAGCUUGUAAAAAAGGAAAGUGACCUACGGCCCAGGACACCCCUCCAAAGCAUGGACAUCUAUUCUCUACAGGAACCAGGUUACAGUGCCACAGCAACAACUGAGAGAUUAAUGUCAUCACCUGCAGUAAACAAUCACAAUGAACACUGGCUGCCAGGGAUGAAGAACAGAGUAAGGCAGAAAAGUUCAGCCUGGAUGACAGCAUUUGACUACCUUGGGAGCAUCUCUCAAAUCCCCUGCAACUGACCCAAAUACAAACAUCAUCUGAG